rnacentral:rRNA from 1 species
UACGAAGGGUGCAAGCGUUACUCGGAAUUACUGGGCGUAAAGCGUGCGUAGGUGGUUUGUUAAGUCUGAUGUGAAAGCCCUGGGCUCAACCUGGGAAUUGCAUUGGAUACUGGCAGGCUAGAGUGCGGUAGAGGGUAGUGGAAUUCCCGGUGUAGCAGUGAAAUGCGUAGAGAUCGGGAGGAACAUCUGUGGCGAAGGCGACUACCUGGACCGCACUGACACUGAGGCACGAAAGCGUGGGGAGCAAACAGG